rnacentral:misc_RNA from 1 species
CUCAACUUUACAGAAUUCUACAGCCCUUAUUUUCCCCUUUAACAACUUCCAAGGGCCUGGAUCUUUUGAUUUAAAGUAGUCAAGGUACUCCUGAUGUCCCUGUCUUAGAUAUACAACUUCAUCCCCUUGCUGUGGAAUAUAAUGAGAGCCGCCCUCGUGCAUCAACAACAUUAGCCAUGACCCUCUUUUGGCAGACUGAUUUGACUUCCUUUUAUCUACUGGACUAGCAUCACGGAAAUAAUAACUGGUUCUCCUAUUUCUAGUAGAUCUUAAUCCAACUGUCAUCCUUGAGCUUGAUCCCCAUUCUUCACCAGGAAGUUGACAUUUGUUAAUGGAACCAUUAUGAGCAUUUCUAUAUGCAUCCUCUGAUUCAUGUUCCUGCCCCAACAUGAUACUACGGUUCAUCAGAUCAUCUGUUGCCUCUGAGCCCAAAAUAUGCUUUCUACAAGCUCCUUCAGCAGUAUCUUCACCUCUGGAAUACUGUUCAUCUGUACUAGCAUGUGAAAUGCUUUCUCUCAUGCCACUAUCACCUUCAGAGUUAGCUCUAUCUCUACCUAACUUUGACCUUCUAUAAACAACAUUAUACAUCUUUUUUGAAUGUGAAUGGGAA